GAUGAACGCUGGCGGCGUGCCUAAUACAUGCAAGUCGAGCGAACAGACGAGGAGCUUGCUCCUCUGACGUUAGCGGCGGACGGGUGAGUAACACGUGGAUAACCUACCUAUAAGACUGGGAUAACUUCGGGAAACCGGAGCUAAUACCGGAUAAUAUAUUGAACCGCAUGGUUCAAUAGUGAAAGACGGUUUUGCUGUCACUUAUAGAUGGAUCCGCGCCGCAUUAGCUAGUUGGUAAGGUAACGGCUUACCAAGGCAACGAUGCGUAGCCGACCUGAGAGGGUGAUCGGCCACACUGGAACUGAGCCAGGGUCCAGACUCCUCGGGGAGGCAGCAGUAGGGAAUCUUCCGCAAUGGGCGAAAGCCUGAGGGAGCAACGCCGCGUGAGUGAUAAAGGUCUUCGGAUCGUAAAACUCUGUUAUUAGGGAAAAACAAAUGUGUAAGUAACUAUGCACGUCUUGACGGUACCUAAUCAGAAAGCCACGGCUAACUACGUC
rnacentral:rRNA from 1 species